AAGUGGGAAGGCUCAGACAGCCAGGAUGUUGGCUUAGAAGCAGCCAUCAUUUAAAGAAAGCGUAAUAGCUCACUGGUCGAGUCGGCCUGCGCGGAAGAUGUAACGGGGCUAAAUUAUGCACCGAAGCCGCGGCAGCGAUAUGUAAAUAUUGUUGGGUAGGGGAGCGUUCUGUAAGCCUGUGAAGGUGUGCUGUGAGGCAUGCUGGAGGUAUCAGAAGUGCGAAUGCUGACAUAAGUAACGAUAAUGCGGGUGAAAAACCCGCACGCCGGAAGACCAAGGGUUCCUGUCCAACGUUAAUCGGGGCAGGGUGAGUCGACCCCUAAGGCGAGGCUGAAAAGCGUAGUCGAUGGGCAACGGGUUAAUAUUCCCGUACUGGUGGUAACUGCGAAGGGGGACGGAGAAAGCUAAAUCAUCCGGGCGACGGUUGUCCCGGUUUAAGCGUGCAGGUGGACUGACCAGGCAAAUCCGGUCGGUUGUUAACACUGAGGCGUGACGACGAGCCACUACGGUGGUGAAGUGAUUGAUGCUCUGCUUCCGGGAAAAGCCUCUAAGCUCCAGGUUACCAUUAAUCGUACCCCAAACCGACACAGGUGGUCAGGUAGAGAAUACUCAGGCGCUUGAGAGAACUCGGGUGAAGGAACUAGGCAAAAUGGUGCCGUAACUUCGGGAGAAGGCACGCUGGCACUAGGUGAAGUGGUUUACCCAUGGAGCUGAAGCCAGCCGCAGAUACCAGCUGGCUGCAACUGUUUAUUAAAAACACAGCACUGUGCAAACACGAAAGUGGACGUAUACGGUGUGACGCCUGCCCGGUGCCGGAAGGUUAAUUGAUGAGGUUAGCGCAAGCGAAGCUUCUGAUCGAAGCCCCGGUAAACGGCGGCCGUAACUAUAACGGUCCUAAGGUAGCGAAAUUCCUUGUCGGGUAAGUUCCGACCUGCACGAAUGGCGUAAUGAUGGCCAGGCUGUCUCCACCCGAGACUCAGUGAAAUUGAACUCGCUGUGAAGAUGCAGUGUACCCGCGGCAAGACGGAAAGACCCCGUGAACCUUUACUAUAGCUUGACACUGAACAUUGAGCCUUGAUGUGUAGGAUAGGUGGGAGGCAACGAAGUGUGGACGCCAGUCUGCACGGAGCCAUCCUUGAAAUACCACCCUUUAACGUUUGAUGUUCUAACCCAGACCCGUAAUCCGGGUCGGGGACCGUGUCUGGUGGGUAGUUUGACUGGGGCGGUCUCCUCCCAAAGAGUAACGGAGGAGCACGAAGGUUGGCUAAGCAUGGUCGGACAUCAUGCGGUUAGUGCAAAGGCAUAAGCCAGCUUGACUGCGAGAGUGACGGCUCGAGCAGGUACGAAAGUAGGUCUUAGUGAUCCGGUGGUUCUGAAUGGAAGGGCCAUCGCUCAACGGAUAAAAGGUACUCCGGGGAUAACAGGCUGAUACCGCCCAAGAGUUCAUAUCGACGGCGGUGUUUGGCACCUCGAUGUCGGCUCAUCACAUCCUGGGGCUGAAGUAGGUCCCAAGGGUAUGGCUGUUCGCCAUUUAAAGUGGUACGCGAGCUGGGUUUAGAACGUCGUGAGACAGUUCGGUCCCUAUCUGCCGUGGGCGCUGGAAGAUUGAGAGGGGUUGCUCCUAGUACGAGAGGACCGGAGUGAACGCACCACUGGUGUACGGGUUGUGAUGCCAAUUGCAUUGCCCGGUAGCUAAGUGCGGAAGAGAUAACCGCUGAAAGCAUCUAAGCGGGAAACUUGCCUCGAGAUGAGUCUUCCCUGACCCUUUAAGGGUCCUGAAGGAACGUUUGAGACUAAGACGUUGAUAGGCUGGGUGUGUAAGUGCAGCGAUGUAUUGAGCUAACCAGUACUAAUGAACCGAGAGGCUUAACCUG
rnacentral:rRNA from 1 species